rnacentral:rRNA from 1 species
ACUUACGGCCAUACCAUCCUGAAUACGCCCGAUCUCGUCUGAUCUCGGAAGCUAAGCAGGGUCUGGCCUGGUUAGUACUUGUAUGGGAGACCGCCUGGGAAUACCAGGAGCUGUAAGUG